rnacentral:rRNA from 1 species
AACGCCGGGGACUACAAGCCUAGCUUGAAACCCAAAGGAUUUGACGGUGUCCCACCCACCUAGAGGAGCCUGUCCCAUAAUCGAUAACCCCCGCUUUACCCCACCACUUCUUACUCAGCCUAUAUAUCGCCGUCGUAAGCCCACCAUGCGAAUGCAAGUGGGCUAAAUGGCUUUUACUCCUAUACGUCAGGUCAAGGUGUAGCUCAUGAAGUGGAGCGAGAUGGGCUACAAUUUCUAAGAUAGAACAAACGGAAAACUUAGUGAAACUAAUAAUUGAAGGUGGAUUUAGUAGUAAAAAAGAGACAGAGUGCUCUUUUAAACUUGCACUGGGACGUGUAC